AUGGAGGAUUACAACAAACAAGUUUCUUAUGGAGCACCUAGGUCUUAUAGUGUUUCUUAUGCACAAACUCAAAUUGGUCCUAAGGACUUGAAGUUUAAGAAAGGAAAAAGUGAUUCAUCAAGGUCUUCAGUUUCUAAGUCUUGGAGCUUUGGUGAUGAUCCUGAAUUUCAAAGGAAGAAAAGAGUUGCUAGCUAUAAAAUGUAUACUGUGGAAGGGAAGGUGAAAGGUUCUUUUAGGAAGAGCUUCAAGUGGUUGAAGAAUAGGUAUUGGCAUGUUGUUUAUAAUUUGUGGUGA